AAGUCGUAACAAGGUUUCCGUAGGUGAACCUGCGGAAGGAUCAUUACCUUUCAAUGCAGCAGAAUUGGGAUGGUUGAGUAUCUCGCCUCUCCGUUCUGCCUGUAUUCUAACCUUGUUUGUCAUAUACUAUUAUUUCCUCGGCAGGCUUGCCUGCCGAGUGAAACCAUUUAUAACCUUUUUAAUUUUCAAUCAGCGUCUGAAAAAAAUUAAUAAUUACAACUUUCAACAACGGAUCUCUUGGUUCUG
rnacentral:misc_RNA from 1 species